GCCGACGUAGCUCAACUGGCAGAGCAUCCGCCUUGUAAGCGGAAGGUUCGGGGUUCGAGUCCCCGCGUCGGCU
rnacentral:tRNA from 1 species